UUUAGGCUCACAAGCGACGACGGGUAGCCGACCUGAGAGGGUGACCGGCCACACUGGGACUGAGACACGGCCCAGACUCCUACGGGAGGCAGCAGUGGGGAAUAUUGCACAAUGGGCGCAAGCCUGAUGCAGCGACGCCGCGUGCGGGAUGACGGCCUUCGGGUUGUAAACCGCUUUUGACAGGGACGAAGCGCAAGUGACUGUACCUGUAGAAUAAGGACCGGCCAACUACGUGCCAGCAGCCGCGGUAAUACGUAGGGUCCGAGCGUUGUCCGGAAUUACUGGGCGUAAAGAGCUUGUAGGCGGUUCGUCGCGUCGUUUGUGAAAACUUGGGGCUCAACCUUAAGCUUGCAGGCGAUACGGGCGGACUAGAGUACUUCAGGGGAGACUGGAAUUCCUGGUGUAGCGGUGAAAUGCGCAGAUAUCAGGAGGAACACCGGUGGCGAAGGCGGGUCUCUGGGAAGUAACUGACGCUGAGAAGCGAAAGCAUGGGUAGCAAACAGGAUUAGAUACCCUGGUAGUCCAUGCCGUAAACGGUGGGUACUAGGUGUGGGGCUCCUUCCACGGACUCCGUGCCGUAGCUAACGCAUUAAGUACCCCGCCUGGGGAGUACGGCCGCAAGGCUAAAACUCAAAGAAAUUGACGGGGGCCCGCACAAGCGGCGGAGCAUGUGGAUUAAUUCGAUGCAACGCGAAGAACCUUACCUGGGUUUGACAUACACCGGAAACCUGCAGAGAUGUAGGCCCCCUUGUGGUCGGUGUACAGGUGGUGCAUGGCUGUCGUCAGCUCGUGUCGUGAGAUGUUGGGUUAAGUCCCGCAACGAGCGCAACCCUUAUCUUAUGUUGCCAGCGCGUAAUGGCGGGGACUCGUGAGAGACUGCCGGGGUCAACUCGGAGGAAGGUGGGGACGACGUCAAGUCAUCAUGCCCCUUAUGUCCAGGGCUUCACACAUGCUACAAUGGCCGGUACAGAGGGCUGCGAUACCGUGAGGUGGAGCGAAUCCCUUAAAGCCGGUCUCAGUUCGGAUCGGGGUCUGCAACUCGACCCCGUGAAGUUGGAGUCGCUAGUAAUCGCAGAUCAGCAACGCUGCGGUGAAUACGUUCCCGGGCCUUGUACACACCGCCCGUCACGUCAUGAAAGUCGGUAACACCCGAAGCCGUGCUAG
rnacentral:rRNA from 1 species